GACGAACCGUGCGAACGUUGUUCGGAAUCACUGGGCUUAAAGGGCGCGUAGGUGGUCUGUCAAGUCGGGGGUGAAAUCUUUCGGCUCAACCGGAAAACUGCCUUCGAUACUGACAGACUAGAGGGAGGUAGGGGUUGCGGGAACUACCAGUGGAGCGGUGAAAUGCGUUGAUAUUGGUAGGAACGCCGGUGGCGAAAGCGCGCAACUGGAUCUCUUCUGACACUGAGGCGCGAAAGCUAGGGGAGCAAACGGG
rnacentral:rRNA from 1 species